rnacentral:rRNA from 1 species
UAACUGGAGAGUUUGAUCCUGGCUCAGAACGAACGCUAGCGGCGUGCCUAACACAUGCAAGUCGAACGAGAAAUCCUGAGCAAUCGGGAGAGUAAAGUGGCGCACGGGUGAGUAACGCGUGGGUAAUCUACCCUGGAGUUAGGAAUAACACUUCGAAAGGGGUGCUAAUACCUAAUAAGAUCCUGAAAACCAUGGUUUUUGGGAUUAAAGAUGGCUGAGGCUUGCAAGCUAUUGCUCCAAGAUGAGCCCGCGUACCAUUAGCUAGUUGGUAGGGUAAUGGCCUACCAAGGCAACGAUGGUUAGCU